UACGUAGGGUGCGAGCGUUGUCCGGAAUUAUUGGGCGUAAAGAGCUCGUAGGCGGCCUGUCACGUCGGAUGUGAAAGCCCGGGGCUUAACCCCGGGUCUGCAUUCGAUACGGGCAGGCUAGAGUUCGGUAGGGGAGAUCGGAAUUCCUGGUGUAGCGGUGAAAUGCGCAGAUAUCAGGAGGAACACUGGUGGCGAAGGCGGAUCUCUGGGCCGAUACUGACGCUGAGGAGCGAAAGCGUGGGGAGCGAACAGG
rnacentral:rRNA from 1 species